rnacentral:rRNA from 1 species
CGAACGGGUGAGUAACACGUGAGUAACCUGCCCUUGACUUUGGGAUAACUUCAGGAAACUGGGGCUAAUACCGGAUAGGAGCUCCUGCUGCAUGGUGGGGGUUGGAAAGUUUCGGCGGUUGGGGAUGGACUCGCGGCUUAUCAGCUAGUUGGUGGGGUAAUGGCUCACCAAGGCAAUGAUCCGUAGCGGGUCUGAGAGGACGAUCCGCCACACUGGGACUGAGACACGGCCCAG